UACAGAGGGUGCAAGCGUUAAUCGGAAUUACUGGGCGUAAAGCGUGCGUAGACGGUUAUGUAAGUCAGAUGUGAAAGCCCCGGGCUCAACCUGGGAAUUGCAUUUGAGACUGUGUAGCUAGGGUGCGGAAGAGGGAAGCGGAAUUUCCGGUGUAGCGGUGAAAUGCGUAGAUAUCGGAAGGAACACCAGUGGCGAAAGCGGCUUCCUGGUCCAGCACCGACGUUCAGGCACGAAGCGUGGGGAGCAAACAGG
rnacentral:rRNA from 1 species